rnacentral:rRNA from 1 species
GGGGUGGCCCUGCGGUCGACGAUUCCUACGGGAGGCAGCAGUGAGGAAUUUUGCGCAAUGGGGGAAACCCUGACGCAGCAACGCCGUGUGAGUGAAGAAGGCUUUCGGGUCGUAAAGCUCUGUUAAGUGGGAAAAAAUGCCUUCGAUUAAUAGUCGGAGGAGUUGAUGGUACCACUAGAGGAAGCACCGGCUAACUCCGUGCCAGCAGCCGCGGUAAUACGGAGGGUGCAAGCGUUGUUCGGAAUUAUUGGGCGUAAAGUGCGUGCAGGCGGUUUGGUAAGUCAGAUGUGAAAGCCCUGGGCUCAACCCAGGAAGUGCAUUUGAAACUACCUUACUUGAGUAUGGGAGAGGAGAGUGGAAUUCCCAGUGUAGAGGUGAAAUUCGUAGAUAUUGGGAGGAACACCCGUGGCGAAGGCGACUCUCUGGACCAAUACUGACGCUGAGACGCGAAAGCGUGGGGAGCAAACAGGAUUAGAUACCCUGGUAGUCCACGCCGUAAACGAUGAGAACUAGGUGUAGCGGGUAUUGACCCCUGCUGUGCCGGAGCUAACGCAUUAAGUUCUCCGCCUGGGGAGUACGGCCGCAAGGCUAAAACUCAAAUGAAUUGACGG